UAGUCAAUACUCUGGAACUGCCUGCCAC
rnacentral:sRNA from 1 species